rnacentral:rRNA from 1 species
CAGCAGCCACGGUAAUACGGAGGGUGCAAGCGUUAAUCGGAAUUACUGGGCGUAAAGCGCACGCAGGCGGUUUGUUAAGUCAGAUGUGAAAUCCCCGGGCUCAACCUGGGAACUGCAUUUGAAACUGGCAAGCUAGAGUCUCGUAGAGGGGGGUAGAAUUCCAGGUGUAGCGGUGAAAUGCGUAGAGAUCUGGAGGAAUACCGGUGGCGAAGGCGGCCCCCUGGACAAAGACUGACGCUCAGGUGCGAAAGCGUGGGGAGCAAACAGGAUUAGAUACCCGAGUAGUCCCUGUCUCUUAUAC